rnacentral:rRNA from 1 species
GACGAACGCUGGCGGCGUGCCUACUACAUGCAAGUAGAAAGACAUCCGAACGAGUGAGUAAAGCGUAGGUGACUGCCUCAUAGCGGGGGAUAACCAUUGGAAACGAUAGCCAAUACCGCAUAGUGCGAGAUGGACCGGCGUUUUAUUAGCUAGUUGGUGAGGUUAAGGCUCACCAGGGCCACGAUACAGAGCCGACCUGAGAGGGUGAUCGGCCAACCAUGCGCUGAGAACCGGCCCAGACUACUACUGGAGGUAGCCGUAGGGGAGCUUCGGCAAUGGACGGAAGUCGGACCGAGCCACGCCGCGUGCGUUAAGAAGGUUUUCGGAUCGUAAAGCUCUGUUGUUAUAGAAGCGGUAACUAACCAGAAAGGGACGGCUAACGACGUGCCAGCAGCCGCGGUAAUAC